rnacentral:rRNA from 1 species
ACGUAGGUGGCAAGCGUUGUCCGGAUUUAUUGGGCGUAAAGCGAGCGCAGGCGGUUUCUUAAGUCUGAUGUGAAAUACCCCGGCUCAACCUGGGGGGUGCAUUGGAAACUGGGAGGCUUGAGUGCAGGAGAGGAGAGCGGAAUUCCAUGUGUAGCGGUGAAAUGCGUAGAUAUAUGGAGGAACACCAGUGGCGAAGGCGGCUUUCUGGUCUGUAACUGACGCUGAGGCACGAAAGCGUGGGGAGCAAACAG